AGCCUCGGUAGCUCAGUGGUUAGAGCGUCAAGCUAGCAAUCUGGGGCUCGCGGGUUCGAUUCUCCGCCUUUAAAGUUA